rnacentral:rRNA from 1 species
AUUGAACGCUGGCGGCAUGCCUUACACAUGCAAGUCGAACGGCAGCACGGGUGCUUGCACCUGGUGGCGAGUGGCGAACGGGUGAGUAAUACAUUGGAACGUACCUUAUCGUGGGGGAUAACGCAGCGAAAGUUGCGCUAAUACCGCAUACGCCCUGAGGGGGAAAGCGGGGGACCGUAAGGCCUCGCGCGAUUAGAGCGGCCGAUGUCUGAUUAGCUUGUUGGUAGGGUAAAAGCCCACCAAGGCGACGAUCAGUAGCUGGUCUGAGAGGACGAUCAGCCACACUGGGACUGAGACACGGCCCAGACUCCUACGGGAGGCAGCAGUGGGGAAUUUUGGACAAUGGGGGCAACCCUGAUCCAGCAAUGCCGCGUGAGUGAAGAAGGCCUUCGGGUUGUAAAGCUCUUUUGUCAGGGAAGAAACACCGGCUCUAACACAGUCCGGGAAUGACGGUACCUGAAGAAUAAGCACCGGCUAACUACGUGCCAGCCGCCGCUGUAA